AGUCGAACGGAAGUCGUUAUAAAAAGGAUUGAAGAUUUAUCUGAUUGAGACUUUAUAACAAUGGCUUUAGUGGCGGACUGGUGAGUAACGCGUGAGCAACCUGCCUACUAGAGGGGAAUAACAGUGAGAAAUCAUUGCUAAUACCGCAUAUGUCAUGAACAUCACAUGAUGAAAAUGGGAAAAGAGUAAUCUGCUAGUAGAUGGGCUCGCGUCUGAUUAGAUAGUUGGUGGGGUAACGGCCUACCAAGUCAACGAUCAGUAGCCGGACUGAGAGGUUGAACGGCCACAUUGGGACUGAGAUACGGCCCAGACUCCUACGGGAGGCAGCAGUCGGGAAUAUUGCGCAAUGGAGGAAACUCUGACGCAGUGACGCCGCGUAUAGGAAGAAGGUUUUCGGAUUGUAAACUAUUGUCGUUAGGGAAGAUACAAGACAGUACCUAAGGAGGAAGCUCCGGCUAACUACGUGCCAGCAGCCGCGGUAAUACGUAGGGAGCAAGCGUUAUCCGGAUUUAUUGGGUGUAAAGGGUGCGUAGACGGGACAACAAGUUAGUUGUGAAAUCCCUCGGCUUAACUGAGGAACUGCAACUAAAACUAUUGUUCUUGAGUGUUGGAGAGGAAAGUGGAAUUCCUAGUGUAGCGGUGAAAUGCGUAGAUAUUAGGAGGAACACCGGUGGCGAAGGCGACUUUCUGGACAAUAACUGACGUUGAGGCACGAAAGUGUG
rnacentral:rRNA from 1 species